ACUGGACUUGGAGUCAGAAGACCUUCAUCCAAGUCGUUCCCUGCUCUAAGUCCCAUUU
rnacentral:pre_miRNA from 1 species